ACCCCCGUAGCCCAACGGGUAGAGGCAGCCGGCUUAAACCCGGCCCAGUGCGGGUUCGAGUCCCGUCGGGGGUA
rnacentral:tRNA from 1 species